rnacentral:lncRNA from 8 species
AUCAAGCCUUUCAGCCGUUGCCUACGAGACGCUGGUGGCAUGUGGUGCGGAUUGGCUACCCGAUGGGGAUGGGAGGAGUCCAAAGUCAAGUCUACCACCUACGGAUUUAAAAGUCGUGGAGAGACAAAAUUGUCACAUCGAGAAAAUAUCCUUCCUCAGUGACAGAUAGUAGAGAAACAACACGGUUCUUCCUGAUUAUUAUUUACAUCUGGACAAUCUCUGAGUUUCCUCCGUGUAGGCUUUUUACGCACAGCAGAAACUUGUGGAUUAAUACAAAUACUAAAUUAGUUGGGGGAACAGAGAACGUGAAAAUGGACGAAAAGCCUCAGGUGGAGAGACAUCAGAGAGAGAGAAUGAACCAGUCUGGAGAGGCAGAGAACAAUGCUGCUGCGGGGGCCACAACAUCAGGCUGUGAAUCAGUGUAGAGUGGAGAAUGCUGAGAUCCUGGAACACAUCGUUCUCUAUCUCCAGAACACUGGUGAUGGGGACAGGAAGAAAGCUGAAGGUGAGGAGCAUCGAGGUCGCGGCAUAAGCUC